rnacentral:rRNA from 1 species
AGAGAAUAGAUACCCGGGUAGUCCACGCCGUAAACGAUGAAUGCUAGAUGUGGUGGGUCUUGACCCCUGCCGUAUCGAAAGUAAAAAACACGAUAAGCAUUCCGCCUGGGGAGGUACGGUCGCAAGACUAAAACUACAAAGGAAUUGACGGGGGCCCGGCCACAAGCGGUGGAUCAUGUGGUUUAAUUUACGAAGACAACGCGCAGAACCUUAACCCUUAGGUUUGUACAUCCCACUUGAAUACAACUAGAGAUAGAUGUAGGCUCGCAAGAGACAGUGGAGACAGGUGUUGCAUGGCUGUCGUCAGCUCGUGUUGUGAAAUGUUGGGUUUAAGUCCCGCAACGAGCGCAACCCCUCGUGUUUGGUUGCCAUCAUCUAAGGUGGGC